AACUGUUCUCCUAUUACUCCCUAUGGGCAACUAUUCCCCAAUGAUUCUCUAUGGUGACCCCAAGGUUGGUGGAUCUUGGGAAUGUGGUUAAAACUCAGAGCUUGGAUUAUUAUAUUUGGGGGAACACUACAACUAUGACAUGCUACUCUAGUAUGAGUUAGCUUUAUAUGGGUGUUGCCUGAGAUCUUAUAGUUCUGCAGCAUAGUAUAACUAACAGCCAGCAGUUACGUUCUGUUUUGUGUCAUGCAGUUCCUCUACUGAGUACCAAUGCAGUGCAACGUAUAUGGAUAAAUGGUCAACGGUCUCACCUGGCACCUGGCCACAGCAAUACACAAUGGAAAAGUCAAUGCACAAAUGCACAUACAAUGGUCCCACAUGUGAAACUCCACUUCUGCAGCCAUAAACCAGGGUCUUGUAAGAGUUUAGCUUCCAGCCAUAGAUCAAGUUUGUCUGCAAAUUCAAAAGAAGGAGAAGAGGAAGAGAGAACUUGCAUUUAGGUUGGAAACCUUCAUGUCUGUACCGUCUCUGGAUGUGGUCUCUCUAAACAAAGAUAUUAUCUAUGGAUUUUCUACCAGGAAGCUCUGAGUAUUUUAAGGGUUUUUUGGGACCAUGUGGCCAUGUUCUAGAAGAGUUUAUUCCUGACGUUUCGCCAGCAUCUGUGGCUGGCAGCUUCAGAGCAUGGUGGCAUCUUCCAUGCCAGCAUUCUCUAAAAAUGGGCAUACAUUUAUAGAUGGGGACAGCAGCUCUGCUGGCAACAUAUAAAGCAGAAGACCUACUCACAGCUAUGGAGUAGGCAAGGAACAUGAUGAUAAUCACGGUUGCGAAUCCGGAUAUGUCUCCCCAGGCCCUCCUCAGGGUGGAGGUGAUCAUGUUCAGCUUGGGGUUCAGCCGCAGAAGAUGCCAGAGUUUCACGGUGGAGAGAAGCACCAAGAAGGCGAUCAAGUAGCCCAGAACUGCAUCAACAGUCGCUGUCUGAUUGAAACUUGCAAACCUAAGGGGAUGCAAGAAGCAUCAUGAGACAGUGGUGCCAAAAUGGCAAUCUCCCUCAACCCAGUGUCCUGUCCUCCAGAUGUUUUAGACUAAAACAGCCAUUCUCCCCACUGAUUGCACACUAACUGGCUGGGGAUGAUGGGGGUUAUAGUCAGAGCAUCAGGAGGAUGCCAUGUUAAAGAAGGCUGACAGGCUAAGGGCAAAGGUGCCUUGGGUUUAGAUCCCCAUUCAGGAAUCUAUUAAGCAGACUGAUCAACUUGACUGUAUUGAUGGCGUCUCAGUGGAACAAUCCCAAAGGGAAAAGACCUUAAAAGAGCAAGACAUUUUUCAGCACUAAGAGUCUUUCUGCUUCAUUAAGAAACAAUAAUAGGAUACAGUAAAUUGGAGGGAGAGGUGUGCUAAGCCAAGAUGAAAGUAUACCCUGGUAUUAUUUAAAAUUGUUAAAUCCUUACUCGUCCUUAUGCUCCUGAUAGUAACUGAUGUCUCGUGAGCCCAAGAUUGUCCGUCUUACAAACACCGACAGGGCACUCCAGCUGAUUGUGAUGAUGGCCAAUUCCAGCAGGUUCCACUUGCUGCGGAAGUAAUUCCAUUUCAGAGCCUUCAUGAGCUUUCCCUGUUGGAACAAAGUGUUCAUUUCCUUUCAAACCAUGCAUAACGUGAGCAGAGGAGGAGGACAGAUUAUGUUGCUACACUGCAACCGCAUUGAGAACACUAGCCAAGUGUGACUUCAGAACUGAUGACUGGUAGUCAGAAAAAUGAGAAAUGCUGCAGGAAGGGGGAAUAGGCUUGCCAACUUGUGUUGUGGCGUUUAGAAGAGCUGCUUCGUGCUUUCAGAUGUUCUUACCUGUCCCACCAUGUAGUAGAUGACAAAGAGGAAAUAAAUGACUUCUGCUGCUACUACGAAGAUAUGCAGGCCAUCUGUGUAUGGAUAAAGCCGGACGCUCUGCAGCUCGGCCCGUGUAAAGAAAGCCCCUGUGAAAGCAAAAGCAGAGAGCAGUGUCUGAUCAGGGCAUCUUCUGCAUUAUUGAAAGUAGGCCUGUAUGAAUUCCAAGAUAAAACAUAAAAUAAAAUAUCCAGACAAUCCAAAAUCUGUAAGAAGAGAAAACAGUUCUAAAAAUAAAAUAGAAGCCAGUAUACAUUCUGCAAGCUGCCUAAAUUAGCAAUAUUUAUUUUGAAUGUUGUUGCUUUUAAUUAAAACAAAAAGGAGAUGUAGCUUCUCCAGGUUGCCUUUACUAUGUGCAUGAGAAGAGGGAAUAUUAACAGAGUCUCAAUUGAGGAGACAUGGCAGAGGAGGCAGUCUCCCAGAGUAAUGUAGGGCCUGCUAUCCUCUUGUCUAAAAACACUGGAGCUGAGAUCGAACUCUCACCUAAGGCACUGGUUUCAAACAUGAGGCUUGCGAUGCAAAACAGGUUCACGUUGGCAUUAUAGACGGUGAACUCGACAAACACAGCUCUUGUAAAGGUAUCCAGCCAGAUGUUGUCAAAGAGGUACUGAAGGAUUCUGCCAAAGAAUAAACACAGACAUACAAAAACUGGUGACAGAUUGAUUGGAUGAUUCUGUGUACAGAGUCAUCUAAUGCAUUUUAAAAAUCUUUUUAGUGUUUUAAAUUGAUAAAUGAAUUGUUUUAAAAUAGCUUUUAUAUUUAUGCUUUUAUUGAAGUAUCUGUAUAGUUUAUAAUCUGUAUUGUUUUUAAAUACGAUGUUAAGUGC